rnacentral:lncRNA from 1 species
CCUAACCUAUUUACUAACGGGUGCGUAAAUCAAAACUAGACAUUUUGAAUCUGGAAUUUUAACAUGUUUUAUUUCGAAAACUGGGCUUCCAUUGAAUUUAGAUGCCCGCAGGAAGCUCUGACAGGGAGUGAUAAUGUAUUUGGGACACAUGGAGCUCUAAUACUCAUCAAGAAAAACCUUGAGAGCUUAGAGAUUCGGCCCCUUUGUCUGACAGGCCCUGACCUUGACAUGCGGACAAAAGGAAUAUUCGAGGGAUUGUUACCCGGCGUGUAUGGAGGCCUAGUUGUUUGGUGGUAGAAUGUAAUGUUGAUGUGGAAAAAGGAUUUUGUCAACUUUGCAGUAUUAAUAAGUUAAUCAUCCUAAUAUAGUUUAAUUUUUUUGUCUUCCUCUUUGGAUAUUAUUUUGACCAAUCAGAUUGUCUUGUGAUUUGAUACCCUCUUGAAUUGAUUUUGAUUGUAAAUAAAUUUGAAAUGUUUUA